CUUAAAUGACAGGCAUUCAAAUUAAACUACCUGAUCAGAAAGUGCUCUGAAGUUCUGAUUAAUUUAAGAAUCUUGAGUUGGGGAGGCUUGCAUUAUCUCAGUGGCCCUAAAUGCAAUCACAAAUGUCCUUAUAAGAAGGAAGCAGAGAAUUUGAUUAUAGAAGAAAAACAGGCAAUGUGAUGAUGAAAGCAGAGACUGGAGUGAUAUGCUUUGAAGAUGGAGGAAUGGGCAAUAAGCCAAGGAAUACAGGAGGCCACUAGAAGCUGAAAAAGUCAAGGAAACAGAUUCUCUCUUCAGAGCCUACAGAAAGAACCAACUCUGCUGAUACUUUGCUUUUAGCCCCAUCAGACUUCUGGCCUCCAAUACUUUAGGAGAAUAAAUUUGUGUUGUUUUAAACCACUAAAUUUCUGAUUUAUUUAUAGGAGCAAUAGCAAACUAAUACAUAGUACUUAAGCCAAAAAUUAUAGAAUUGAACUUCUCGUUUACUAUGGUGCAGUUCCA
rnacentral:lncRNA from 1 species